rnacentral:rRNA from 1 species
UGGGGAAUAUUGGACAAUGGGCGCAAGCCUGAUCCAGCCAUGCCGCGUGAGUGAUGAAGGCCUUAGGGUUGUAAAGCUCUUUCACCGGAGAAGAUAAUGACGGUAUCCGGAGAAGAAGCCCCGGCUAACUUCGUGCCAGCAGCCGCGGUAAUACGAAGGGGGCUAGCGUUGUUCGGAAUUACUGGGCGUAAAGCGCACGUAGGCGGACAUUUAAGUCAGGGGUGAAAUCCCGGGGCUCAACCUCGGAACUGCCUUUGAUACUGGGUGUCUUGAGUGUGGAAGAGGUCAGUGGAAUUGCGAGUGUAGAGGUGAAAUUCGUAGAUAUUCGCAGGAACACCAGUGGCGAAGGCGGCUGACUGGUCCACAACUGACGCUGAGGUGCGAAAGCGUGGGGAGCAAACA